GACGAACGCUGGCGGCGUGCCUAAUACAUGCAAGUCGAACGCACAGUUUAUACCGUAGCUUGCUACACCAUAGACUGUGAGUUGCGAACGGGUGAGUAACGCGUAGGUAACCUGCCUGGUAGCGGGGGAUAACUAUUGGAAACGAUAGCUAAUACCGCAUAAUAUGAUUAUUGCAUGAUAAUUGAUUGAAAGAUGCUAUUGCAUCACUACCAGAUGGACCUGCGUUGUAUUAGCUAGUAGGUGAGGUAACGGCUCACCUAGGCGACGAUACAUAGCCGACCUGAGAGGGUGAUCGGCCACACUGGGACUGAGACACGGCCCAGACUCCUACGGGAGGCAGCAGUAGGGAAUCUUCGGCAAUGGACGAAAGUCUGACCGAGCAACGCCGCGUGAGUGAAGAAGGUUUUCGGAUCGUAAAGCUCUGUUGUAAGAGAAGAACGGGUGUGAGAGUGGAAAGUUCACACUGUGACGGUAUCUUACCAGAAAGGGACGGCUAACUACGU
rnacentral:rRNA from 1 species